UGAGGAAUAUUGCACAAUGGAGGAAACUCUGAUGCAGCGACGCCGCGUGAGGGAAGAAGGUAUUCGUAUUGUAAACCUCUGUCUUUGGGGACGAAAAAAUGACGGUACCCAAAGAGGAAGCACCGGCUAACUACGUGCCAGCAGCCGCGGUAAAACGUAGGGUGCAAGCGUUGUACGGAAUUACUGGGUGGAAAGGGAGCGCAGGCGGAUCUGUAAGUUGGACGGUGAAUCUACGGGCUUAACCCGUAUCAGCG
rnacentral:rRNA from 1 species